rnacentral:rRNA from 1 species
GACGAACGCUGGCGGCGUGCCUAACACAUGCAAGUCAACUUGACUGAAGGAGCAAUCUGACAGUAGAGUGGCGCAAGGGUGCGUAACGCGUAAGUAACUUGCCCAAGGUAAGGAAUAACGUCGAGAAAUCGGCGCUAAUACCUCAUAAUGCAGCGGAUUCGCAUGGAUAUGUUGUUAAAGGUUUACCGCCUUGGGAUAGGCUUGCGUCUGAUUAGUUAGUUGGUGUGGUAACGGCACACCAAGGCUACGAUCAGUAACUGGUCUGAGAGGAUGAUCAGUCACACUGGAACUGAGACACGGUCCAGACUCCUACGGGAGGCAGCAGUGAGGAAUAUUGGGCAAUGCUCGAAAGAGUGACCCAGCAACGCCGCGUGGAGGAUGAAGGUAUUCUAUAUCGUAAACUCCUGUGAGAGCAGACGAAAGACAGAUUAUUAAUCUGGAUGACUGUAUGCUCAGAGGAAGCCCCGGCUAACUACGU